ensembl:lncRNA
CUAAUCUUAAAAUAUAAAAACAACUAUUUUGACAAUACAAGUGCAGAACGGGACAGACAGAGUAUAGACAGAGGAGAGGGUUUUAUUCCACUAGCGAAGGCAUAAGCAAAUAAGUAAUUAAGCCAGAAUUCUCUAUUGAGCUGCAACAACACUAGGUGUGGGCAAGGAACUGACCUGUGGAAACUGGCUCCUGAGCAUGUAACCUUACUCCCUUUUGAGAUCAAGACAGCUAUCUGACAACACAGCACUUUGUCAGCCAAGGAGCCCAAAAAACAUUCCCAGAGCUAACUGACAUUUAUAUGUGGGAUUUUAGUCUGAAUGUCUCUCUCCUAAAGAAGAAAAUCCAGAUCUAGUGUUGUCAUUAAAGCGCACCAUUUAGCAGCUAGCUAAAAUCCUACAUAUCAGUGCAGUAAGGCAAAUACGAGAAACUUUUCCAACCUGGACAUUAUACUUUGAACUCUAAGGAUCACGGACUGAUUUACCUUAUAUUCUUUUCUUGGUGCAAUACCCUGAUAAGCCUAGGUCAGCACUCUAAUCCUCCUCUGUGUUAGAGCUGAAUCAGUUUUGCCUAUUUUUAGCCAUAUAGCAGUUCCAGUUUAAGCCAACCAUCUCCUGUUGUCAAUGGAAAAACACAGGCAUACACAGAGAGCAGUUCAUGCCAAAAUCUAGAAUGGAUGUCUAAGAGAGGCACACCUGAACAGAAGUGAAUUUACUUUCUCUCUCAGGAGGAUGCUUUGACAAAAGAUGUUUAUGGAAUAUGUAAUUCUAUAUUACUUCAGUUCCUUAAAAUUAUGCCUACUUCCUUGUAGGAACACUGUAGGACACACAGUACACAGAGACUGUGACUGCAUACUCAAGGCGGCAGAUACGUUUAUCACUUCUUCAUUUUUCCUUCUUUUGCCCUUCCAUCUUUUCUUAUCCUUUUUAGGACUCCUAAGCAGAUUAUAGAAACAUAUCAGGUUGCUGGUUAACGGAGAUUAAUUGUGCAAGCUGUACUACGUACAGAACUUAAUGAGACAAACAUUCCUCUCCUGUAUAUUGAUGUGCUCUUUGAAACACGAAGGGAUCUCUGACACCACUAAUGUUAUCUCAGCACAAACAAAGGACCUGGAGACUGUCAAAAGAUAGGAUGGACAGCAUCACUGCCACACAGCGCUCAUGCUCCACCUUGCCUUUAUCAUCCGCCAGUUCAAGAACUAGUGGUAAGCAGUGGCUUUGGCUAAGACAGAAUGUGCAGAGAGCUUCAUUACCUAUCCUGGAAAGGUCCCCAACAAGGACUCCCAGCGUACAGCAGGCUAUUUGUGAGAAGGGCACCUCACUUCCUAUUCAGUCUUCAGACAAAAAUCUCUUAGCUCAGUGUUUAGAAUAAUAGUAGAAUAACAAAAUUUACUCAUUUAAGAUGCCAACAUUUUCUUCGAACUUGUGAUUGCUGUUAUGAUAUACCAAAUCUACACAUCAGCACACACAAGCACAUUCUCAGGCUCUUAAAGCGAGAUGUAAAUUAGUCAGAUGUAACUAGCCUGCUCCAGAUAAACAAAAGGAAGCAUGAGUUGGAUUCAGUUGUUGUGACCAGAAAAUCCCUACCUAAGGAAGUCAUUGGGUUUGAUUUUUAAAAAGUUUUUUUUUACAAGAGGAGUUAAGCUUCGUUUCUUUGCAUGGCACUGGAAUGAGCUGCUCUUUGAGAGCUCUGAAAUACUUUGUGCCACCGAAUCGUGUGCUUCUCCAAAAACAAGAAAGAUGUCUUGCAAGGAGACUUUGUAAAAAAUGAAGUUGCUACAACAGCUGAGAGACAGAGAAUGGUUCGAUUGAGAGAAAAGUAACAAACAAGUGUCAGAGUGGGCAGUUGGUGUCAGUUCCUGAAGGAUUUAAAACUUGACAAAAGCUUGAAGAAAUUAUGUUAACAGAGCCAAUGUCUUUAUGAAAAGAAUAUUGUACUUGACAAAAAUCCAUUGUAAACAACGUUUGACAGAGCCUUUAGUAAAGUGCUCCAGAGGAAAGAAUGAUGCAUAAAUGAAGUAUACAAAUACUGUAUUCCACUGAUAUUUAACAUCAUACGGUGUGGUUUCAUUUUUUUUCCUGAAAAAGAAAUUCCAUACUCAGUCAGAGCUCAGUACAGUGAUAAACUGUGGUUGAAAGUUCAUCUCUCCAAAGAAGCAAAACUGUGAGAAAGACCUUCGUACUUCAUUUAUAAUGAGAUUACAAUCCACAUGAAACAAGGUUUUCUAUUACCACUUUGAAACAACUCCUUACGCUCUAUAUAGAAUGUUCUCAAUCAUAUUUAGGAAAUCUAUUGUAUAUGCUAUAGAAGAACUAUUUAUAGUUUGUCUCAGAGAAGGACUGCACAGAUAAUUUUAGGCUAUGGAUUUCAGCAGGGCUAACCUUUUGCUGCACGUGGCUUAUGCACAAUACAAAAAAAAUUUCCAUGCCAAAGACGUAUCCCAUGACUGGCAAUGAAGGCCUGCUGGCCUGGCUGGGUAACCCAAAACCCUGGCGCUGGGAGGAAGUGAGCCAGUGGAAGCUGUCAGCAAAAUAGCCAGGACGCUGCGCAGUCCUGCUUCACACAGGAGCAGUGAGAUCGCAGAGCAAUCACUGCCAUCUCCUGCACGCAAGCCUUUCCAAAUGUGUGCUCUCCUCCGGCUUGUCUGGGUGCUAGAAGUCCUUGUGACUCUUGGGCAUGCCAAGUUUUCAGUGUAACAGACAGCAUGGAUGACCAUCCACUCCAUGCUGCAUGCUGUUCUGUGAAAUUCUGUUGGUUUGUUUGGUGGUGAUUGUUUUUGGUUUCCUGAAGGUCAAAGAGAGAGAGGUACUGAGAAAGGAGUAAUGACACGGAAUAAGCAUUGGCUUGUGCUAGAGCAUCCCAAGAACAUUUGACUGUUACAAUACUUAACUCUUGGACCUCCUGACGCUCAGUCGAAUCCUUAGCUGACAAGUGCCCAAACUCAAAGCAUACCAAAAAACAGCCACUAACGAAAGGCACUCUCAGAAAUCCUGAGUGGAAUUCAGGAGACAACGAGCACUGAUGAUGCAGAUAAAAAGCUGCAAAGUGUAUGUGCCCACGUACCUCCAGUUGCGGCAUCCUCUUGCUUGGGAAUUGUCAUCUCAUUAUCAUCAUUGUCAAAUUAAUAGGGAAUUGCCAAUUUUGAUUCCCCCCUCCAAAAAUAAUCCAGGAGUAAAUCUCUAGGAUUGUAUUUUAAGCACUCAAAUAAAACACAGGAGACACUGAUUUAUUUUCAUCCUCUGCUUGAUUCAGAUCAGGGAUCUGUUUAUCCAUGUUUAUCACAUCUCAGGCAAAUAUGCUGAUCCCUGGGCUAAGGCUGAUGAGGAAUCAUAUGUCCACUAUCUGUUAUAUUCCAGUGGUGCCACUUGCAAGAAUAUUCGAGUAGUCAUUCAGGAAUGAUGUAGGCUGCUACGUCUGGGCCUACCUAAAAUGAACUGUCUCUUGUCCAAGUCACUAUUUGUCACUUGGAAGUUGCAGCCUACAUCAGGUCUGCUUAUCGUUUGUGGCGCACAAUUCAUUUUGUCUGAUGUAUCUCUCUUGCAGUUAUGAUAGUAAUGUAUAAUACUACAAAGUAAUAACUAUAAUGCCUGGCACUCUGAGCCAAACAUUUCUAUAAUGCUGCUACAAUGCACAAAUGUUGUUUAAAAAUAAUGCCUCUGCAGGCCAGUAGAUUCUGUUCUAAGCCAGCUUUCACACUUCACAAGCAAAAUAUCUUCUCACUAUUUUCUCUAAAUUUAAACAUAGCUAGAUGUUGUCUAGUUACCAGGUCCAGAAUGCAGAUCUAGGAUUGCUCUUCCAGGGGUCUGUCUAAUGAAAAUACACUCUUAUGGUAUUUCUUCCUUCUCAAAUUUUCCUCAGUGUAAUUAUCUUUUCCCCCCAGAAACCCACACCAUAAUAUGUACUCGUUCUCCAAGAAUCCAAAAACUCCCAUCAGUUCAGUUGUAGCUGUAUUUUUGAUGAUUUUUUUUCAGGCAGAGAGGGCAACCAAGUCUAUGCAGUUUAUCCGAAAUGAAGUGCAGGCUUUUUUUUUAGUGUGGCUGUGUACAAUCUGACUAGAGUGAGAAGCCAUUUUGUCAUGCAGAAUAUCUGAAUACUACUCCCUUCCUUUUCAUUUCUUUCCUACACAUCAGAUGAACAGCCUUUGGAAGAAAGAAUGUUGACUGAGACCAGCUUCCUUCCAGUUUUUGAGAAAUGUCAUGUUUUCCUUUAGGAUGACUGCAGCAGAAAUGCUAAAUCACAGCUUGAAGCAGUGAUUGAGCACCUGGUGGAAGGCAGGGCCAACCCAGGGGAGCUCAGCUGCAUGCAAUGCACCUCAGUGACCAGACGGGGUGGAGCCAGGAUCCACCCCUUCCCAGACCUCAUGUAAGGGUUGGCAGUGGAGGCAUGGGGAUCUUGCUGGAGGUUCCUGCAUACCUAAGGCCUUCUGAGGUGAGUCAUCUGUACUUACAGAGCAAUACAAAGGAGAGAUAAUAUACUACAGAUCUAGUGAAAACAAGGAUUAGAAGAAAACAACUCUGUUGCAACCAAUCAAAGCCUCUGGUAUCCUCAGCUGAAGCAUCUGAUACACAUCUUUGUCAGAAAAUACAGAUGACUGAUUUGGUGGACAGUAGUGUAACAGACCAGUCAUCUCUGGCAAUCUGAACACUUCAUACCUGUAUUUUGCAGGUAGACAGCCGACCAGGUUGUAAGUGGGAGCAGACGUGUAUCUGUUUUUUUACUGAGUAAAAGAAGCCAGCACAUGUAGGAGACUGUGAGUGACAGAAAAGGAUAUCAAAACACACCAGCUAUUGUCACACCUGCAUCCUAUUGGAGAGGAUAAAACAUGAGGAUGAAUAACAAAAAUAUCUGAGGCUCAGUGUACUCUUCAGAGGUAACAGAAGGUAGACUCUGUGAAAACAUUUUUUUUCUUGCUGUACUGCAGAAAAAAAGGGAGAAAAUGAGAUAUCUUGUUAAUAAUUAUGUUUUGAAAAACUCUUUAAAUUCUUGAUUAAAGCCAAGUAAAGCCCAAGGUAUUUGGACACACAGCAAGCAAAGGACUUGUGAAAAGUUACAGAGAGAACAGAAUACGACUGAGACUUGGAAAGGAAGUGGCCACAUGUCAGAGUACCCGAAGUACAAGCUGUGAACAUUACAUUCAAAUCAGUCAGCAACAUGUUUAUGGAAAUUCAGAUGAUAGCAGUAAUAUGACAAUAGCAGAAGUAUAAAAACAGCCAGCAACAAACAUCAGUUAAAAAUGUACAGAAUGUCUAGAAUAAAUCUUAAAUAAGCAAAGAUGAAAACUAAAACUUAAUUCCUCUGAGGGUGUCUUUAGAACAACUAUCUACAUGAAAGGAUUAAAUAUAACGAUACCUGGGCCUUGGAAUGGACUAGCUUACAUUUAGAGGUAAAACUGACAUCACAUAGUGAACCACAAAACCCAGCCCUGGAAAACUCCCUUCUAUAUCUAAGCAUACACGUGUUUCAGAGCUGAGACUGACUCAGCAAAGCCAACGUGGGAUGUAGCAGUUGUGUCUGCAAAGGCAAAAAACAUGGCAGGUCAGGAAAACAUCAUUCUAUGGUUACCCUACACUGUCAGAAGACUGAUGUGUCCACCAAAGGAACUCAAGCAAGCAGUAAUAAUGUACACGAGACAAGCUUUAUUUGUUCAUGUGACAGCAAUGUGGGUAGAAGAAAGCAAAAGAAAUGGAGAACAAAAUCUCAAACUACAUAUAAUGGAGAGAUCAACGCUUAUGAGCUAAAUUGUUUGUCUACAAAGACAGAACAAUGCUCAAAAUAUAAUGAACAAAAACUUGAAAUUGUAGAUGACAGAAAAUGCAUACUACCUCAUGAGGAGUGGAGAAGUCCAGAGGACAGGACUGCAUUAUUUCUAAUACUUUGUUUACAUUUUGAAAAGAGAACUAUCUCAAGGUAUUCUCAUUUCAGAUGUUUAUGCAUUUAAAAUCCACAUGCGCAUGGAAUAAUUAAGGACUGUAUUAAUGCACCACCAAGAAUUAAGUCAGACCAAGCAACGCCUACGUCCGCCUACAGCUGAUUAACUUUGUUAGCCAUGUAAUCAAAGAGCUCAUUAAAUUGGCACAUCCAUAUGUCAAGAAGUAUUUGGCAACUGAUAAUGAAACAUCUUAAUACAAUUUAUGCAUAAAAUGUGAUAAUUUCAAUACAAUCACCUCAUGGUUUUGUGCUGUGUUUUACGCAAUGCCUAUGUUAUUGCUGGUGUUACUGCUGUGAAGGGAGCUUUACACAUCCAUAACUUUCACUGUAUCUUCCCAGUUUCCAAACUCUACUCCAUCCCUCCAUUUUCCCAUGAAGAGCCCUGCAAAAAUUCUACAUGAGCUCCAGAAAAGGAAGUGGCCGUUUUCCUACCUCCUGAGCUCUCUUUUUUGUCCAUAAACAGCAGGGAUACGAUUAGCCUGAGUACUGGAUGUAGAAACAGUCCUUGCUUUCUUUCACUUACAGAACUAAAAUGUGUAUUUACUUUAAUUAUCAGUACUGAUAAUUAAACUAUUGUCCAUUUUACUGAGAUCAGGUUUAGACAUCACUGUCGGUAUGUUCUGAAACUAUGGAGUGUGAAAAUGCACUCUGUGCUUCCAACAGCUUAUAGACUUAACAACCAAGUAAGUGUACGACUGUAAAAUGAUCUUUCAUGCACUUACAGAAAAUCUGAUGGCAAAAAAUGAGAUUAUAUAGCACAUAAUGUGUGCUGUUAUCACUCAUCUCACACUUCCUUUCCCUCUUUUUUGUCGAAUCAAAAGUAAGAGAGGUCUGUAAUCACUACAGCUUCUCUUCCUGGACAGAACCAUGGAAAAUGCCUGUCCCAGACAGCAACAGUGUAAUGGGCUUCUGGUUUCUGAUUGGCACUCCCUCCUCCCCAGGAAAACGUCUUGUAGUAAAAUAAAUGUGUUUGUGCAGUGGUGACUAUUUGUCACUGUAGACCCUGACACAGGCAUUAAAGCAUCUGCCAUUUAGAACUGUGUCUCAUAACUGCCCAACAUGAGAGCUGUAAUGAAAUCCUACCUUACCAUCUUGAACUAGAGGAGUCUGUUUAGUUAGCGAAGUUGCACCUCUCAGAUGAUAACAGGGCUGUAACUGAUAUGAACACUAAAUUCCAUAUCCAAUCAAAGGAAAACAGCAAUGAUUUGGAACAGCUAUGGAACCAAGGUCUCUGUGAAUAUUUUCAGCUCUUCCCCUACAACGAUUGUUUAAUUAUAUGAAGGCAUCUUUUUCAGAUCUCGACCUUUCUGACUUUCAGUCUCCACAGAACAUAUUACUAUUCACUAAACCAGUUGCCAAACUUGCAUGUGAGAGAUGGAUGCUCCCUCUUGUUUACAAGUUCUCUGAAAUGGCACACACAGUACACACACUUCCUCUAGUCAUUUUGCAAACCUCCACUGAGAGACCACAUGACUUUAUGAAUAUGGAAAUAACAUUUCUUCAGACAAGCAGAAUUUGAACAGGGUCAAGUAAAUAAUAGAACACAGGUAAGCAACAGUCAGCUUGUGGUCUGACAACAUAUAUAAAUGAAAAUCAAGAAUUAAACCUGUUCCAUGUUACUCACCGCACGCUACUGUGAAGUUCAUGUAUUUUAAGGCAAGAAGAGAUAAUCCAGGCUCAGCAGUGCUACUAUAUACCAAAGGCCAUGGACUUUAGUGAUCUCCAUUCCAGCAGCGGCGAUGAUUCUUCCAUGAACUACAGUGAAGUUCUUUUGUUUAAAUUUACCAUAAGCCAUUGUCAGCAUAAGUAAAUCUGGUCCCCCAUAGAGUCACUACUACCCAGACAUUCAAGAAAACUCAAAGUGUCUAAUUUCUGUACACCCAGCAUUUCUUUGGGGUUAAACGUGUCCUUCAGCAGCUUACACAUCUUCUGGGCACCAGUUUUCCUAUUACAGUUCCCACAUCUCAGACACCUGAAACAUCUCUAGAAUGUGACAAUGUCUCAGUCCUCAUCUGCUUAAAACCGCCUUCUCAAAGGAAGGGAGAAAAGAAGUGUCUCAUUCUUUUUAGCUUUUGCAGUCCUCAGUGUAAUAUACUAUUUCCACAGUGAAUUUUGUAGUGCAGCAAUACAUCAAAGUUUUCUAUAACUCUUACCAAUGAACUGUGACUACUGAUACAUUAGCAGACAGGGUAUGUACAUCAGGAUCAGGUAUGUAGAAAUUGGUAGUGCCAAUACACGUCAUGUUUCAAGGUGAGAAAACCUAG